UCAGGACGAACGCUGGCGGCGUGCUUCAUACAUGCAAGUCGAACGAUAAGGCACCUUCGGGUGUACGAUAAGUGGCGGACGGGUGAGUAAUAUGUAGAGAAUCUGCCCUAGAGAGCGGGACAACAGUUGGAAACGACUGCUAAUACCGCAUAUGAGCGUAGCUGAAAUGCUAUUCUUGAAAACUCCGGUGCUCUGGGAUGAGUCUGCAUCUGAUUAGCUAGUUGGGGGUGUAAUGGACCACCAAGGCGACGAUCAGUAGCUGGUUUGAGAGGAUGAUCAGCCACAAUGGGACUGAGACACGGCCCAUACUCCUACGGGAGGCAGCAGUAGGGAAUUUUGCGCAAUGGGGGAAACCCUGAACCGCAGCAACGCCGCGUGACCGAUGAAGCCCUUCGGGGUGUAAAGGUCUGUCAGUGGGGACGAAUAUUGACGGUACCCACAGAGGAAGCAUCGGCUAACUCCGUGCCAGCCGCCGC
rnacentral:rRNA from 1 species